AAAAAAUAAAAUUUUUAAAAACAGUUUCGAAAAGUAUUUUUAAAUUAUAAAAAGAAAAUAAAAAAAAAUUUGAAAAAAAAAUUUGAAAAAAAAAAUUAUAAAAAUUUCGAAUCUGAAAACAUAUAAUCUGAAAUUAUAAAAAAAAAAUUAUUUUUUUCAUUUUUUUUAUUUUAUUUAUUUUUAUUUAUUUUUGUUUGUUUAUUUAAUUUUAAACCAAGAGUAUUAGGGAUAUUUUACCUUUUAAUGAAUGUCAUUUUUGUGACUUUCUCCUUCUAGUGCUAUUUUUGAGACAUAAACUUCAAAAUGUGCUAUUAUUGACAAUUGC
rnacentral:lncRNA from 1 species